CUCCACUGUAGCAAGUUCAGAUGUGUUAUUGGAAACAUGGUUAUCUUUUUUAAUUUUCUAGAUACUUGAGUGAUUUUGCAAGAUGGGUGAUAAAUAGUAUUGUUUAAAAGUGGAAUCCAUCCCAUUGUUCCUGUUAUCUCUCAGUGAUAGUUUCAUCUUACCAGCAGACCCACAGCUUGUUUGUAAAGACAAACCUGUCAUUCCUCUCAAUCCCUCCUCUUUUAAUUUUUUUAAUAAAUGUCUUUACAAACUUUA